UACGUAGGGGGCAAGCGUUGUCCGGAUUUAUUGGGCGUAAAGAGCGUGUAGGCGGUUUGGUAGGUCCGCUGUGAAAACUCGAGGCUCAACCUCGAGACGCCGGUGGAAACCAUCAGGCUAGAGUCCGGAAGAGGAGAGUGGAAUUCCUGGUGUAGCGGUGAAAUGCGCAGAUAUCAGGAAGAACACCAGUGGCGAAGGCGACUCACUGGACAUGUAUUGACGCUGAGGUGCGAAAGCGUGGGGAGCAAACAGG
rnacentral:rRNA from 1 species